AGGGAAUCUUCCGCAAUGGACGAAAGUCUGACGGAGCAACGCCGCGUGAGUGAUGAAGGUUUUCGGAUCGUAAAGCUCUGUUGCCAGGGAAGAACGUCUUCUGGAGUAACUGCCAGGAGAGUGACGGUACCUGAGAAGAAAGCCCCGGCUAACUACGUGCCAGCAGCCGCGGUAAUACGUAGGGGGCAAGCGUUGUCCGGAAUUAUUGGGCGUAAAGCGCGCGCAGGCGGCUGUUUAAGUCUGGUGUUGAAUCCUGGGGCUCAACCCCGGGUCGCACUGGAAACUGGACGGCUUGAGUGCAGAAGAGGAGAGUGGAAUUCCACGUGUAGCGGUGAAAUGCGUAGAGAUGUGGAGGAACACCAGUGGCGAAGGCGACUUUCUGGACUGUAACUGACGCUGAGGCGCGAAAGCGUGGGGAGCAAAC
rnacentral:rRNA from 1 species